rnacentral:rRNA from 1 species
UACGUAGGUGGCAAGCGUUGUCCGGAUUUACUGGGCGUAAAGAGCGCGCAGGCGGUCGUUCAAGUCGCGUGUGAAAGCCCCCGGCUCAACUGGGGAGGGUCACGCGAUACUGAUCGACUCGAAGGCAGGAGAGGGAAGUGGAAUUCCCGGUGUAGUGGUGAAAUGCGUAGAUAUCGGGAGGAACACCAAUGGCGAAGGCAGCUUGCUGGGACGGUACUGACGCUGAGACGCGAAAGCGUGGGGAGCAAACAGGG